UAAAUGACGCAAACAACGGUGGCUGCGCCCUAAUUAAUGAAAAUUGCAGAAAAACAAAUAAAACCACUUGAGAAAACCAAACAAACAACCAAAAGAAAACCAAUCGUCUUCUCAAGAACAGAACUGGAAAAUUAAAAAAAACAGGAAAACCAAUAGACUUUUCGAUAAAAAACUCAGCAGCCCCAUCUCCCUAGGAUCCUUCAUCAAUGUCGCUACUACCAUCGUCUUGCUCCCAUAGAUUAGUAGCCCUCAGAAAUCAUGAUGGAUCUUGUAGUUUUGAACCGUCAGAGCCUUGAAUACCCAUUUUUUUUGACCCAUUCAACUCAUUCAUAUAAGAUUUCGUCUAUUUCUUUCAGUCUCUACUUCUACCCUUAGCGGCGCCUCCUCAAUUUAAACCAUUAGCAAUGACCAUUGUUUUUCUUCCUUCGCCAUAGCAGGCGCCACUUGAUUCACCAAUCUGCCUACAAAACUAAAGAUGAGUUCUUUGAAUCUUUGAGCCUUUUCUUUAAUUUCCUUUAUUAUUACAACAAUACUUAAUAUUUCCUCCCUAUUGGCCGAACUUUUUUAACUACAGUCAAGGGGUCUCCCUCCACCACCAACCUUUGAAAGCCCAGUUCUUCAGCCACUGUCACCGCAUGUAAACAGGCUUUGGCCUCAGUUGUAGUUGCGUCGGCCACAAAAUUAUUCGGGUAAGCCAUCAAUACCCACCCACUACAAGACACAUUUGGUGAACGAACAAUCCCGAAAAAUGUGGCUCAUCGACUCUUCCAUUAAGCGACAGACAGGGCAAUAAUUCACCACCACCAACUUUCUCAGUUGUAAAUUAUCAAACAUAGGAAUGUAGUUGUUAGUCAAUUUUAAUAUUGUAAUUUUUAUCUUACUCAACAACUCUUAUUCUCCAUAAUUUCUUGUAAAAACUCUGUAAUAGCGUAUCUUGUUGUACCCUUCCCCAAUUGAUGUUAUCACAUCCCCAUUUAGCAGUAAUUUGUACCCA